rnacentral:rRNA from 1 species
GGGGAAUAUUGCACAAUGGGGGAAACCCUGAUGCAGCGACGCCGCGUGAAGGAAGAAGUAUCUCGGUAUGUAAACUUCUAUCAGCGGGGAAGAGAUUGACGGUACCUGACUAAGAAGCCCCGGCUAACUACGUGCCAGCAGCCGCGGUAAUACGUAGGGGGCAAGCGUUAUCCGGAUUUACUGGGUGUAAAGGGAGCGUAGACGGAUGGACAAGUCUGAUGUGAAAGGCUGGGGCUCAACCCCGGGACUGCAUUGGAAACUGCCCGUCUUGAGUGCCGGAGAGGUAAGCGGAAUUCCUAGUGUAGCGGUGAAAUGCGUAGAUAUUAGGAGGAACACCAGUGGCGAAGGCGGCUUACUGGACGGUAACUGACGUUGAGGCUCGAAAGCGUGGGGAGCAGACAGGAUUAGAUACCCUGGUAGUCCACGCGGUAAACGAUGAAUGUUAGGUGUCGGGUGAC